AGGACGAACGCUGGCGGCGUGCUUAACACAUGCAAGUCGAGCGGAAAGGCCCUUCGGGGUACUCGAGCGGCGAACGGGUGAGUAACACGUGAGUAACCUGCCCUGGACUUUGGGAUAACCCUCGGAAACGGGGGCUAAUACCGGAUACGACGCACUCUCGCAUGGGAUGUGUGUGGAAAGUUUUUUCGGUUUGGGAUGGGCUCGCGGACUAUCAGCUUGUUGGUGGGGUGAUGGCCUACCAAGGCGACGACGGUU
rnacentral:rRNA from 1 species